AGUGGGGAAUUUUGCGCAAUGGGGGAAACCCUGACGCAGCAACGCCGCGUGGAGGAUGAAGUCCUUCGGGACGUAAACUCCUUUCGAUCGGGACGAUUAUGACGGUACCGGUUGAAGAAGCCCCGGCUAACUUCGUGCCAGCAGCCGCGGUAAUACGAGGGGGGCAAGCGUUGUUCGGAAUUAUUGGGCGUAAAGGGUGCGUAGGCGGUUUGGUAAGUCUUAUGUGAAAUCUAUGGGCUCAACUCAUAGACUGCAUGAGAAACUGCCGGGCUUGAGUAUGGGAGAGGUGAGUGGAAUUCCUGGU
rnacentral:rRNA from 1 species